AUUUCAAUACGUAGGCGUGUUUACAGGAAAAACAGAAUCAUAGAGAAAAUUAUUAUCAUGGAACGUCCAGCAGCUAUCAUCAUUACGAAUUGAGGGAUGUAGAUGAUGCGCCGCUCUGCUGUGAUGCUCACUCCUACCUGCCUGGUGUAGAUUCAUGUAGCCUAUGCGCCCCGUGGGACGGACCAGGCCUACUUCGCUCAUAGCGACUUUUGUACUACGGCAUCAUCGGCCGGGCAGCAAGAUUAAUCUUUUCCUAAGAGGUUUGCGGCAUGGAAGAUAGUCUUCAUUUUCAUAUCCACUUCUCAUUAACACCAGCGAAUAAAAAUACUGAGCUUUUUUCUCAGCCAAUAAACCAUAUAAUUCCUCAAGACGCUGCGAGAUCACAUUUCCUACAUAUCUACGGUGGUAUGUGUUUAUGGAGAUCACUGAGCUCGAGACGACUUUUAAACCGUGUUUAAACCGUGACCUGAAACUUGGAAGUACCCUGAAACCCAGCCCACUGGACCUUAGCUACAGGAACAAAGUGUGUCCUGAUCACAACCAAUACUUCCCCGGCCAGUUCCACCAGACCCUGUUCCUCUGAGACUAUGUGAAUGUGGACUGUGUUAUGGGUACAGAACCCCAAGGGCCCAGUCAGGAAAAGAAUKAGACUUUCAGGUUGCUAUGGACUAUUGGAUCAACUCCUGAAUCCUGUCAGCUCUGCUUGGAACUUCACAAUGGUGUUGUUUCUGACUGCAACUAUAAUAACCUUGAAUAACUCCUCUCAUGAGAACCAGACUACAG